UCCUUGAUGAUCCAGUGGUUAAGACUCCAUGCUUCCAAAGCAGGGGGCUUGGGUUCAAUCCCUGGUCAAGGAA
rfam:TPA: Bos taurus chromosome 18, whole genome shotgun sequence.